GCUAAACGCGAAGAACCUUACCAGGCCUUGACAUCCUGAGAACCCUCCAGAGACGGAGGGGUGCCCUUCGGGGAGCUCAGAGACAGGUGCUGCAUGGCUGUCGUCAGCUCGUGUCGUGAGAUGUUCGGUUAAGUCCGGCAACGAGCGCAACCCUCGCCAUUAGUUGCCAGCAUUUCGGAUGGGCACUCUAGUGGGACUGCCUAUGAAAGUAGGAGGAAGGCGGGGAUGAUGUCUAGUCAGCAUGGUCCUUACGGCCUGGGCGACACACGUGCUACAAUGGCCGGUACAACGCGCUGCCACCUCGCGAGAGGGAGCUAAUCGUUAAAGCCGGUCCCAGUUCAGAUUGCAGUCUGCAACUCGACUGCAUGAAGCCGGAAUCGCUAGUAAUGGCGUAUCAGCUACGACGCCGUGAAUACGUUCCCGGGUCUUGUACACACCG
rnacentral:rRNA from 1 species